rnacentral:lncRNA from 1 species
CACGCACUUAACGCUCAAUCCUGGUGUCGCGUCCCGUUGCCAGGCAACGAAAGCAAGCGCUGCAAAGACGAAGGGGAGCGCCCAAGGAUGAGGAACGUUCCAAGACACUGAGUGAUUUGCUGAAAAUCACACAUCUAGAUGCAAAGCCAGAAUGCGAGCAGUGACCACCACACUUGACCAAUCUGUUGUUGCACACAUUUGUACUCUUCAAUCAACAAAACCUGAUGCAAAAAACAGAAAAGGGGGAGAUGUACAUGCAUUUUCCCUCACUGCAAAAAAAAACACAACUUGUUUAACUACAGGUGUGUUCCUGGUGGUCUUUGAAUGAAGACAUUGACAGAAAGUAGCAUAGCAUGCUGGUUAAAGACUGUUUUUAUUCGAAUCCUGGCUUUGCCAAUCAACAGCUGCAUACAUUAAACUCUCGACCUCAGCUCCCUUAUUUGUAAAACAAGAAUAACAAAAAUACAUUUUUAUAAGGUUGGGUUGAAGGUUAAAUGAAAUAACAGAAGAUUAUCUCUUCACUAAUUUUAGCUGUAGAAAACGGAAGCCAAUCAAAAGAGCUCCCAGUCCAAAGCUGGAACAACUUGAACAACAAAAUAAAUAAUGUAGCAUUGGAUUACAAACCAACCAUAAAACAAAUAUCCAUGAGUCUAUACUGAUGUCAAUAAAUGAAUAAAUGAAUAAAUGUGGGAAAAUAGACAAAUCUCCUUUCUCAUACAGAAGGAUUCCAAAUAAUUUGUGUAGAUAUUUCACUUUUAACUUGUU